rnacentral:tRNA from 1 species
GAGGAUGCAGCUCAGUGGUAGAGAGCCUGGCCAACAUACAUGAGGCCCUGGGUUUGAUCCCCAGCAUCACCA